rnacentral:rRNA from 1 species
GAUGAACGCUGGCGGCGUGCCUAAUACAUGCAAGUCGAGCGAAUGGAUUAAGAGCUUGCUCUUAUGAAGUUAGCGGCGGACGGGUGAGUAACACGUGGGUAACCUGCCCAUAAGACUGGGAUAACUCCGGGAAACCGGGGCUAAUACCGGAUAACAUUUUGAACCGCAUGGUUCGAAAUUGAAUGGCGGCUUCGGCUGUCACUUAUGGAUGGACGCGCGUCGCAUUAGCUAGUUGGUGAGGUACCGGCUCACCAAGGCAACGAUGCGUAGCCGACCUGAGAGGGUGAUCGGCCACACUGGGACUGAGACACGGCCCAGACUCCUACGGGAGGCAGCAGUAGGGAAUCUUCCGCAAUGGACGAAAGUCUGACGGAGCAACGCCGCGUGAGUGAUGAAGGCUUUCGGGUCGUAAAACUCUGUUGUUAGGGAAGAACAAGUGCUAGUUGAAUAAGCUGGCACCUUGACGGUACCUAACCAGAAAGCCACGGCUAACUACGUGCCAGCCGCCGCCGUAA